rnacentral:lncRNA from 1 species
GACCCUAUUCUUCUGCCUCAGUGGUCUCCGCAUCAUUUCUUUGAGAUCAAAAGAGAACCAAAAGUCGUCUCUUCUACAUCCUUGCUUUUGGCUUCCUUAUAGAUCAUAAGAGAUACUGAGGCAAUAUUGAAAGACAGAUGCUAUUAAAGCAAACUAAAGAUUAUGGAAAAGUGAGAACAUGCAGGGAAUACAAAGCAACUAUAGUGAUGCAAUUCAGCUUGAUGAUGCAUAUGAUAAACCAGGUCUUUAGA